AGUAACACGUAGGUGAUCUGCCUUUUAGUUGGGGAUAACGGAGAGAAAUUUCUGCUAAUACCGAAUAAGCUCUACAAAUUUGAAAGUAGUAGAGGAAAGGCCGCAUUCUUCGGAGUGCAGUCGCUGAAAGAUGGGCCUGCGGGCCAUUAGCUUGUUGGUGGGGUAACGGCCUACCAAGGCGACGAUGGCUAGCCGGUUUGGGAGAACGAUCGGCCACACUGGAACUGAGACACGGUCCAG
rnacentral:rRNA from 1 species